GUGGGGAAUAUUGCACAAUGGGUGAAACCCUGAUGCAGCGACGCCGCGUGAGUGAAGAAGUAUUUCGGUACGUAAAGCUCUAUCAGCAAGGAAGAAAAUGACGGUACUUGACUAAGAAGCCCCGGCUAACUACGUGCCAGCAGCCGCGGUAAUACGUAGGGGGCAAGCGUUAUCCGGAUUUACUGGGUGUAAAGGGAGCGUAGACGGUAUGGUAAGUCAGAUGUGAAAGCCCGGGGCUCAACCCCGGUACUGCAUUUGAAACUAUCAGACUAGAGUGCAGGAGAGGUAAGUCAAAUGCCUAGUGUAGCGGUGAAAUGCGUAGAUAUUAGGAGGAACACCAGUGGCGAAGGCGGCUUACUGGACUGUAACUGACGUUGAGGCUCGAAAGCGUGUAGAGCAAACAGGAUUAGAUACCCGUGUAGUCC
rnacentral:rRNA from 1 species